rnacentral:misc_RNA from 1 species
GAACGCAUCUUGCACCUCCCCGGUCUCCUGGAAGGUAUACUUGUUUGAGUAUCAUAAACACUACUCCUCCUUUGCCGGAGGGAAUUGAGAUGCCAAGUGGCUGCGCAAGCAACACCUGUGUCUUUUAAUUGACAUGCUGCGUGAGUCUGCACUGUGCCUUGCCUUGCGGGAGGGGGCGGUGCCGAGACCCACACACCAAAUGUGAGAUAAACAUCGCACAGAGUCGUGUGUGGGUUCAUUUCGUGGCUACACUCAUCAGCUAGCUAGCUAGCACCCAUGAAAUAUGAUCUCAAAUCAAGUAAGACUACCCGCUGAACUUAAG